rnacentral:rRNA from 1 species
AUUGAACGCUGGCGGCAUGCCUUACACAUGCAAGUCGAAUGGUAACGGGCCUUCGGGUGCCGACGAGUGGCGAACGGGUGAGUAAUGUAUCGGAACGUACCUUUCAGUGGGGGAUAACGUAGCGAAAGUUACGCUAAUACCGCAUAUUCUGUGAGCAGGAAGGCAGGGGAUCGCAAGACCUUGCGCUGAUUGAGCGGCCGAUAUCAGAUUAGCUAGUUGGUGAGGUAAAGGCUCACCAAGGCGACGAUCUGUAGCGGGUCUGAGAGGAUGAUCCGCCACACUGGACUGAGGCACGGUCCAGACUCCUACGGGAGGCAGCAGUGGGGAAUUUGGACGAAUGGGGGCAACCCUGAUCCAGCCAUGCGCGUGAGUGAAGAAGCCUU